GAAGGGCCGUGUUCAUAGGAAGGGUCUUCCUUCAGCAGCUCCAGAGAGGCAUUGAGAAUUGGCAGGUUACUUUACCUGCCUGCUGCUCCUACUGGGAGAGAUGGUGCCUGCUGAGAAAGUCUUCCCUGUUUUGGAUGCAAACCAACCUUCGUAGCUGCAGACUCUACCCUGGAAGCUUUCCCCAACUUUAUGGAGAGCUGUUGGUACUUAAGCAAGAAAAGCUGGGCAAGGAGUCUGUGCAGAGUUGAGUCUGGACCAGCUCUCUAAGGAUCCCACAAAGGCUUUGGGCCAGCGCGCUACUCUCGAAAACGCACAUAGG